rnacentral:rRNA from 1 species
UACGGAAGGCAGCAGUGGGGAAUAUUGCACAAUGGGCGAAAGCCUGAUGCAGCUAUGCCGCGUGUAUGAAGAAGGCCUUAGGGUUGUAAAGUACUUUCAUCGGGGAGGAAAAAACAAAACUAAUAAUUUUAUUUCUUGACGUUACCCGAAAAAGAAGCACCGGCUAACUCCGUGCCAGCAGCCGCGGUAAUACGGAGGGUGCUAGCGUUAAUCAGAAUUACUGGGCGUAAAGAGCACGUAGGUGGUUUUUUUAAGUCAGAUGUGAAAUCCCUGGGCUUAACCUGGAACUGCAUUUUGAAACUGAAAUACUAGAGUAUCGUAGAGGGAGGUAGAAUUCUAGGUGUAGCGGUGAAAUGCGUAGAUAUCUGGAGGAAUACCUGUGGCGAAAGCGGCCUCCUAAACGAAUACUGACACUGAGGUGCGAAAGCGUGGGGAGCAAACAGGGAUUAGACUACC